UUCGAGUGGUCAGGACGAAUAUUGGGUCUAAAGCGUUCGUAGCGGGACAAGUAGGUCCCUGGUUAAAUCCGACGUCACAAGCGUUGGGCUGCUGGGGAUACCGCUAGUCUUGAGAGCGGGAUAGGACAGGGGUAGUCUAUGGCAGGGGUGAAAUCCAGUGAUCCAUAGGCGACCACCGAUGGCGAAGGCACCUGUCUGGAACGUAUCUAACCGUGAUGGACGAAAGCCAGAAGAGCGACCCGGAUUAGAUACCCGGUUAGUCCUGGCCGUAAACGAUGCCGACUAAGUGUUGCAGCGUGGGCCAAGACCACUCUCUAGUGCCGACAGCGAAAGCGUCAAGUGAGCCGCCUGGGAAGUACGUUCGCAAGGAUGAAACUUAAAGGAAUUGGCCGGGGCGCCUACUACAAGAAGUGGAGCCUGCGGUUUAAUUGGACUCAACUCCGGGAAACUCACCUAGGCCGUAACACGGAUGAUUGUCCUGUUGAAGACACUGCUUGACGUGUUACUGGAGGUGCAUGGCCAUCGUCAGUUCGUGCCGUGAGGUGUCCUGUUAAGUCAGGCAACGAACGAGAUCCCUACCGUCAAUUGCCAGCGAGACGGUCAACUUGGAUCGUCGGGACAUUGGCGGGACUGCUCGCCGAAAAAGUGAGAGGAAGGAAGUGGCAACGGUAGGUCAGUAUGCCCCGAUAUGCCCAGGGCUACACGCGGGCUACAAUGGCUGGUACAAUGGGUCCGUGACCCGAAAGGGGAAACCAAUCCCGAAAGCCGGUCUCAGUCAGGAUUGUGGGUUUGCAACUCAGCCCACAUGAAUAUGGAAUUUCUUAGUAAACGUGUCAUUAAGACACGUUUUGAAUACGUCCCCGCGCUUUGUACACACCGCCUGUCGUUGCAACCAACUGCAUGGUGGUUGAGGCGCUUGAUUUAAUGCGAGUGUCAAUACUGCUGUGUGCUAGGAGGCAA
rnacentral:rRNA from 1 species